rnacentral:rRNA from 1 species
CCUACGGGAGGCAGCAGUGGGGGAUAUUGCACAAUGGGGGGAACCCUGAUGCAGCGACGCCGCGUGGGUGAAGGAGUAUUUCGGUAUGUAAAGCCCUAUCGGCAGGGAAGAAGCAAGACGGUACCUGACUAAGAAGCCCCGGCUAACUACGUGCCAGCAGCCGCGGUAAUACGUAGGGGGCGAGCGUUAUCCGGAUUCACUGGGUGUAAAGGGAGCGUAGACGGCCAUGCAAGCCAGGGGUGAAAGCCCGGGGCCCAACCCCGGGACUGCCCUUGGAACUGCAUGGCUGGAGUGCGGGAGGGGCAGGCGGAAGUCCUGGUGUAGCGGUGAAAUGCGUAGAUAUCAGGAGGAACACCGGCGGCGAAGGCGGCCGGCUGGACCGCGACUGACGUUGAGGCUCGAAAGCGUGGGGAGCGAACAGGAUUAGAUACCCCAGUAGUC